UACGGAGGGAGCUAGCGUUGUUCGGAAUUACUGGGCGUAAAGCGCACGUAGGCGGCUUUGUAAGUUAGAGGUGAAAGCCCGGGGCUCAACCCCGGAAUUGCCUUUAAGACUGCAUCGCUUGAAUCCGGGAGAGGUGAGUGGAAUUCCGAGUGUAGAGGUGAAAUUCGUAGAUAUUCGGAAGAACACCAGUGGCGAAGGCGACACACUGGGCCAUUACUGACGCUGAGGCGCGAAAGCGUGGGGAGCAAACAGG
rnacentral:rRNA from 1 species